rnacentral:lncRNA from 1 species
AUUUAGGUUAAAUGAGGUCCUAAGAGUGGGGCUUAAUCUGUUAGGACACCACAGAUUGAUCCCUCUCUCUCCCUCUCUCUUUCCUUCUCUCUGCUUGUGCACCAGCACAGGGGGGUUUCAACAGCUGGUUAUAAGCCAGGAAGAGAGGUCUCAUCAGAAGCCAAUCCUGCUGGCACCGUGAUCUGGACUUCCAGCCUCUAAAGCCCUGAGAAAAUACUUUUGUGCUGGUGAAGCCACCUGUUCUGUAGUAUUUUGUUAUGGUUAAGACAUUGCCUAACCGAGUCCACACAGUCCUGAAGACAGAAUGGCUUGCCAUUUUAUCCCGAGGUCUCGCAUGUUGGCUGUUCUAAAGCAUAGAGUCUGCAGGAAGAUGGUGUGGAAGUUCUCUGGAGCUUUAAUCACUAAUGACCUCAUCUUCAAGUGGUCAGUGAUAAUAAACAAGAAGAAGGGAUUUCCAAGGGGGCAGAGCAUUAAUAAGUUUGUUGUAGAUAGCUGGAAAACAAGAAGAACAUACAAUGACCCCUAAAUCCAUCCUUGGAGAAGAUCGCUGUUGUAUAGAAGAUCUCCUGUAUAAAACAAAAAUUAAAUCAUGAUUUUGUAGCCUGUUUCCUAUCUUCUAAUGCAAAGUGACUGUUUUCCCAUGUAUUGUAGAGCAUUCGGCUGCCA